rnacentral:lncRNA from 1 species
AAAUCUACAUGUAGUGCUAGUAACUCUCAAAACAUAAAGCUAUUAAACUAAAUACUAAAUUGGGAAGAAUCAUUCAUGGUUUUACUCUGAAGUUCAUAUGUAAGACACUAACAAGUCUUUUGACUUUAGUUAGAAGAAGAUAUAUACUCGUAACUUUCUUGUCCUUCCAUGAAGCAAAUGUUGAAACCUGCGGAACAUUUACAACUUAAUCAGAAACUUAUUGUAUGAUAUCAUAUACACAACACUAAAAAUGAUUUUUCUUAUUGGUUUCACAAGUUUCAUUGGAAACAUGAUGUAAUUCUUGUGCACAUGUAUAAAAUCAAUUGCACCAAACUACACAAAAUAUUGAAAAAAAUAUAAUACAGAGAGGAUGAAUAUUUAUUGUAAUAAAACCCAGCCAAAACCCAAGAACAAUCCGUGAUGAAAUCAUGAUUUCUAACAUCUGUUAUGGUUAGUUCAGGUACUGUAAAUCAUCACAAUUGAGAUCUAUAAAAUAAAUUGGAAUUAGAAAAAUUAUACAAACGAAUGAUAUCAUAUUGAUAGCUGCUAGAAAUAUAACUUGCAUCACCUUGUGAAGUGUAUAGAUUUUAUUCUCUGAUAAAUGUUUCCCAAAGCUUCCAUUGGGGUCUAUAUUAAUGUUAAAAAAUACACAUUAAUCAAUCAACAUGGUGUAUACAAGUGAAAAUAAAACAGUUGCAACCUUAACCCCUCUAAAUACAACAAGAAGAACAGUAAACAUCACAUGUAAACUGCUGGUAUGAAAAUAAAGAUUUGUAUACUAUAAUUUUCCAGGUUACAAAUUGACUUAUGGUUUGAAAACUGAAAGAUGAUGGUGCAACAACUUUAUCAGUGAUAUUGAUUCCAUAACAACAAAUGAACAUGAGUCUAUCUGUCAAUGUCAAUAUAAUAUAGUAGAAAUCGUAGAUUCACAAUUAAAAUUUCAACAUAAAAGUGAAAAAUAAUGAAACAAUCAGUCAAAGCAGUCAUAACUUGUGUUGAGUCCCAGAAGAAAGCAUGGAUAUGUAAAGUGAAGCUAAAGAACUUGAGUGUAUCAAAGUCAAUAUACUUACAAGGUUGGACUAGAAAGUCAAUGUGAAUUGAAGAUUCAAUUCUAAUCUGCCAUAUUUUUGCCCUGUAUGACACCCAGGAGGUCAAUAUAUAAACUUUUAAAUCUGUAUGAUGGAAUGACCAAAAUAUAAAGGAUAUCCACAAGAUCAUGUCAAAAACAUAAUAGUAUAUGAGAUAAAGCUCAUUAAAUUCAAAUGAUAAACUAAAUCUAAUCCAUUACCACCUCGAUACCAUCUAAUCCAUCAUCUGAUUUUGAUGGAAAAUAAUUUUUGGUUAUUAAGAAUUUUUAGAAGUUAGAAUCGGAAUGAGAGAUUCAGAAACAUAACAUAUCGAAGAUGGAGGCCGAAAGCGAAAGGGUUGACGAUGGUCGAUGGCAGCAACCGCCUAAGUUUUUGAUUUUAACAGAGAUGUAGAAAUCGUGAUGGUAAAUAUCGUCCAACAACAAAAUCGAUGACAAUUGGGGCAGCGGAAGAGUUGACGAUCGGUGAUAUCAACGACGAAAUGAUGGGGUUGACAAUGGACGAUGUUCGAUUGCAUAAGGUGAGUGUCAAUAUGGUCUUGUUCUUCUUCUGGUUUUAAGAGAAUGAGAGUUCAGUCUUGAAUGUCAGCGCCUUGCUAAAUAGUCG